rnacentral:rRNA from 1 species
ACGUCGCGCGACGAAACAUCAUAGGAAGGCACUUGCUUAUGAACUAUGAGUCUUUUUAAGAAAACUCGCAUUUAAUAUGCUUAAUAACAUUUAUGUGAAUUGAAUCAUCUUAGUAACAUAAUAAAAAAUCAAACGAGAACUUGUAAGUAACGGUGAGUGAACACAAGCUUAGCAAAAUGUUGAAAUCCAGAGAAGGUGUCUCAAGUCCUUUACAGCAUUAAUAAGAAUACAAAGUAGUAUGAUUAACUUUUGUACGAAAAUAGGAGUACCAUCUUCUAAGCUAAAAAAUUUUUCUAAUCGAUAGUGAACGAGUACCGUGAGGGAAAGAUUUAAAUUUGUUAAUUUAUAUUUAUUUGAAGUUGAUGAAUGCAACUACAAAGUGCCUUUUGCAUAAUGAGUCAGUAAGUUAAUAUAUGUAGCAAGCUUGAAAAUAUUUAGGCAUUCUAAGUUACAUGCAUUAGACCCGAAGCCAAGUGAUCUAUUCUUAAACAAGUUGAAGAUGUUUUAAAAUGCAUUGGAGGGCUGAACCCACGUCUGUUGAAAAAUACGGGGACGAUUUAAGAAUAGGGGUGAAAGUCCAAUCAAACUUGGUGAUAGCUGGUUUUCCGCGAAAACUAUCAAAGUAGUACGUUGCUUUUCAAAAAUGUGGGUAGAGCUACUUAUUAAACUUAGAUUUUGCUAAGUUUUAUUAAACUCCAAAUUAUAUUUUUAUUUAGCAGCAGACAGUCAUUAGGCGAUAAGGUUCAAUGUCAAAAGGGAAACAACCCUAAUCGAUGGUUAAGAUCUUAAAAUUAUGAAUUAGUGAAAAAAUGAAAAGUAAUUCGAAUAAACAGAGUAGGCUUAGAAGCAGCCAUCUAUUGGAGAAAGCGUUUUAGCUCAUUAUUUUUACUUAUUUUACUCAUUUAAAAUGUAAGGAGACUUAAAUUCAUAUAUCGAAGCUUCGAAUUAAGUUUAAUUUUUCUUAAUGGUAGCGGAACGUCCUGUAGUCUUUUCUGUUAAUGUUAAAUUGCAUAUUAAAAAUCAGGAGUGCUAAUGCUGACAUGAGUAGCGUCAACCAUGUUGAAAAUAAAUCAUGGUCGUCUAUUGCUCAAGGGUUUCCAGUAAAUUUUAAGUAACUGGGUUUAGUCGGCCCUUAAAAAAAAAGUGAAAACUGUACUUGAUAGGAAAAUUAUUCCGCAUGUUUGCAAAAUAUUUUUGUGAAAAUUUGCAUGAAGUUUGACCGUACUUAGAACCGACACAGGUGAGCUUAUUGAGAAGAUAAAGACGAAUGAGAUAAUUAUACUUAAGGAACUCGGCAAAUUUGCUCCGUACGUUCGCAACAAGGAGUACCUUAAAGGAUUCAAAAAUUAGGGGUAGCGACUGUUUAACAAAAACUCAAAACUUUGCAAAUUCGAAAGAAGACGUAUAAGGUUUGACGCCUGCCCAGUGCUUGAAAGCGAAAAAUACACGUUAACGCUUGUAUCAUAAACUCAAGUAAACGGCGGUCUUAACUAUAAGGAUCCUCAGGUAGCGAAAUUCCUUGGCGGGUAAAUUCCGUCCUGCAUGAAUGGCGUCACGACUACCCCACUGUCUCUAGUAUAAACUCAGCGAAAUUACAUUGUCUGUGAAAAUGCAGACAUCCUACAACAAGACGGAAAGACCCUAUGAUUCUUAACUAUAAUUUUACGUCGCAAUAAUUUUGUGUACAGUACAGUAAAAGUAGGAGUAUACUUAUACAAUUUUGAAAAACUACUCUGUACAUAAGAAAUUGCUUACUGAAGAGAAAAUAUGUAAAAGUGGUAGUUUACUUGGGACGAGGACCUCCUAAACUGUAACGGAGGUGCACAAAAGUAAAUUUUAAUUAGUUUUUUGUAUUAAUAAAAUAUGUAAUGGUAAAAAUUUGCUUGACGGUAAGAGUUACAACUCAAACCGGGACGAAAGUCGGUCAUAAUGAUCCGGCAGUAAUGUAUGGAAAUACUGUCGCUUAUCGGAAAAAAGAAACUCUAGGGAUAACAGAUUUAUCAUGGCUGAGAGUUCUUAUCGACGCCAUGGUUUGAUACCUCGAUGUCGGCUCAUCUUUUCCUGGAGCUGUAACAGGUUCCAAGGGUAUGGUUGUUCGCCAAAUAAUAAGAUACGUGAGCUGGGUUCAGAACGUCGUGAGACAGUUCGGUCCCUAUCUGUUGUGGGUAAGAAAAAACUAGAUUUAUCUUUAGUACGAGAGGAUUAAGAUAUAUUAACCAAUAGUGUAUCGGUUGUAUUGUUUCUUGCAUUGCCGAGUAGCCACGUUAACAUUAUAUAAGUGCUGACAGCUUAAAAGCACAAAAAUAAUCUUUAUUUUUUCAAGAACUUUCUAGAAGAUUACUAGAUAGAUCGGUUUAUUAUUUAAUACUUGUAAAAGUAAGUAAAUAAAUACGAAAAGUUCAUUAUAAUUUGUGUU